UGCUAGGUGAAUCUGGGAACAGUCAUAACGUGUUUCACAAGCAAAGGAACAAAAUACCCUUUCAUGAUUGGGAUUACAGGUUUGGUGAAAAGAGAAGGGUUCUGUCACAGCAAAGGAAGAGGAAGCCAGAUUGCUGACGGGGAGGAACAGGGAGAAACAUUUGCAGGAAGUAGAUGCUACCAAAACCAG